AUGAAUUGCCUUAGCUGGAACUGUCGUGGGCUUGGGAACCCAGUGGCAGUUCGUGAGCUUCGCAGUGUAGUGAAGCAAGAAGGGCCUUGUCUUCUAUUUGUAAUGAAGACAAAGAUUGCAGCUAAUAGAGUGGAAAACCUAAAGAAUCAACUUGGUUUUGUAGGCUGUUUCGCAAUAGACAGUCAUGGUCUAAGUGGAGGUAUUGGUUUGUUUUGGUCAGCCGAAGUGCAGGUUGAACUUCAAAACUAUAGUUCUGGCCAUAUAGAUGUAUUGGUGCAGAAAAGUGAUCACAUCUCUGAAAAAUGGAGACUCACGGGAUUCUAUGGAGCCCCACGAGCAUCAGAUAGACACCAUAGCUGGAGAUUUCUUCAAACCUUAUUUUCCAUCCAACACCCAGCAUGUUAUUGA
rnacentral:rRNA from 1 species